AAUAUUGCACAAUGGGCGCAAGCCUGAUGCAGCCAUGCCGCGUGUAUGAAGAAGGCCUUCGGGUUGUAAAGUACUUUCAGCAGUGAGGAAGGUGGAUAUGUUAAUAGCAUAUUCAUUUGACGUUAGCUGCAGAAGAAGCACCGGCUAACUCCGUGCCAGCAGCCGCGGUAAUACGGAGGGUGCGAGCGUUAAUCGGAAUUACUGGGCGUAAAGCGCAUGCAGGUGGUUUGUUAAGUCAGAUGUGAAAGCCCGGGGCUCAACCUCGGAAUUGCAUUUGAAACUGGCAAACUAGAGUACUGUAGAGGGGGUAGGAAUUUCAGGUGUAGCGGUGAAAUGCGUAGAGAUCUGAAGGAAUACCGGUGGCGAAGGCGGCCCCCUGGACAGAUACUGACACUCAGAUGCGAAAGCGUGGGGAGCAAACAGGAUUAGAUACCCUGGUAG
rnacentral:rRNA from 1 species